UCUCCUAUGGCGCAAUCGGUGGCGCGUCUGACUGUUAAUCAGAAGGUUGUUAGUCCGAGCCUAACUGGGAGAG
rnacentral:tRNA from 1 species